UACGUCGCCGCUGUCUCCUGUCCUUCGUCUUUGCGCACAGCCUCUCGAGAUGGUGGUGCGCUGCUGCAUCCUAUCCUACCCAGCUUGGUCGCUGGCCAGGCUCUAGCGGUUCCCAGCUUGGUCGCUGGCCUGCCCAGCUUGGUCGCUGGCCAGGCUCUAGCAGUGCCCAGCUUGGUCGCUGGCACAGGGAAUUCUCCCACAAAGCUGCAUCUCCUUCCAUCCUGGUUGCAUCUCUCUUCGUCAUGUAGAUCAGAAUUGAAGCUUUCUCGCCAUGCGUGAGAUUUUGUGCAUGGUUGGGAGGGAGGCGAGUCUUCGUUUGUGUCCCUGCUGAGUUCUUACUGUUCGUUUUGUCUCUGUUAUGGUUCGUUCCCAUGCUCAUGCUUCCCAGCGUAUUCGCUCCACGUCGUUGGGUUCCUCUUCCUCGGUGGGUUCUUCUUUGCCGGUUGGUGCUGUUGAUGGGAGGUUUCUUGCCCAAGGUGGUUCUGUUCCUCCUGAGUAUUGCUCCUUUUAGGUUGUUAUUAGCUAUGUGUGAUUUUGGUAAAAAAAAAUUGGUUGUUUUUACGUGGCUGUGUGUUUUCAGGUUCGAGUGCUGAUGAGGCGCGGCUGCGACACCAGGCACGGCAAGAUAUCCGUCGUGGGAAGCGUCCUGUAGAUUCAUCGUCUGUUGGAAGGAACGUUCGGCCUGUACUUGAAGAGCUGGUUGAUCCUUGUCUUCUUGCUGUUAGAGCUGCAUCUGACGUGGAAGUUUUGUGUCGUCCGUAUUUUACUGUUGGUUGGUUGUCUGGUUCCUCGCGUGGACCGACUCCUUCUGUUCUUCCUACACCUGUUGUUAGUCGUGUUGAUAUUGUUUGGAAUCGUCGGAAGCGACGGAUUCUUCGAGAUUAUUACACCAGCAAAAAAAGAGUUCAUGCUAUGGAGCCGCCAUUUGCUAAGGAAAAUAUAUUACUUCUUAAAGGCGUUUCACGUGUUCGCUCUUAUUAUGGUGGUCCUGAGUAUGUUUGCCCGGCGUGCCAUGCUUCAUUUUGGUUUCUGGAGGGCUGUAAGAGUUAUGCUACUGGUGGUGGUCGCCUUCCAGUGUAUACUGGCUGCUGCAAGGGAGGCAAGGUGUCGUUGCCUUCAUUUCCCGAUUGGCCAUCUCCACUUAAGGAUUUGAUUAAGUUUGAUUGAGGUCCUGUCUCUAGCCGUUUCAUGCGUUUGAUUAGGCAUUACAAUUCUAUGUUUUGCUUCACAUCUCUUGGCGCUCGAGUUCAUCAGAGUAUUAAUGUUGGCGGGGGUCCCUAUGUCUUCAAGAUGAAUGGGGUGGUUUAUCAUCGUAUUGGUCCUCUUCUUCCUUCGGGGAAUAGUGCGCCAAAGUAUGCUCAGCUUUAUAUGGUGGACUCUGCUGAUGAAGUGCAGUUGAGAAUUAGUGCCUUUGAUCGUCAAGGAGCUGAAACGCUUGAUCCUGAUCCAGGCAUUGUGGCUUCUCUUAUUGCUAUAUUAAAUAGGCAUCAUAAAUUGGUGCAUAAGUUUAGAAUGGCUAGGGCAAAUCUGUGUUCUCUUUCUGCUCCUAGGGUGGCUAUACAUUUUAUGGGUGAUGAAGGCGGUGGUCAUGGUGACCGUUUUUCUGGUCCUGCUUCAUGUGAGGUGGCUGCUCUUAUAGUCGGCGAUUACACGCCUGAAUGUAAAAGAUUUGAUGUUAUUGCUGAAACUCGCUCUGGUUUUCUUCGGCAUAUCUCUUUGUUGAAUUCGAGUCUUAUGCCCCUACAGUAUCCUCUGUUAUUUCCCUUUGGUGACAAAGGAUUUCAUCUUGGUAUCAAGUAUAUUGCUAUUGGUGGGCCUCAUGGAGAUGGGCAUUGUAAUAUUGGUGGACGUUUACGUGGUCGUUCUUGUCGAGGGCAAGUAUCUAUGAUGGAAUACUAUAAUUAUUACUUCCAUUAUAGACGGGGGGAGCCAAAUCCUUAUACCUGUUGCGGUCGUUUGAGCCAGCAGAUAGGUGUGAAUUCUUAUUCUUGUGUGGAAGCUAAUCGUUUGGACUUUCACUUUCAGCAACAAGAUGAUUUACGUUCUAAGACGUAUCAAGGUAUUACUGAUGCUGUCGGACAGGGUGGAUCAACUGGUGAGAAUUUGGGGAUUCAGUUUAUAUUACAUUCGAGUUUUACGGGUGGCCCUCGGUACAUGGUGCUUAAUUACCAUGAUGGUAUGGCUAUUUGUCGCGAAUAUGGUGCUCCCGAUCUUUUUGUCACUUUUACAUGCAAUCCAAAGUGGCAAGAAGUUGUUGAUGCUCUCGCACAUGAAGGUGGUCAGACUCACGUUGAUCGUCCUGACAUUGUUACGCGUGUUUUCAAUAUAAAAUUUGAAGAAUUUUUAGAAGAUGUAAAGGAUGGAUCAGCAUUUGGAGCUAUUCAAGCUUAUUUGUAUGUGGUGGAAUUUCAAAAGAGAGGGCUUCCUCAUACUCAUACUCUUAUCUGGCUUAAAGAGAGUACGAAGGAUCCUUCGCCUGCUUUUAUAGAUAAUCUGGUGUGUGCUGAGUUACCAGAUCCAAUGGUUGACCCUUUGUGAUAUACACUUGUGGAUGAAUUCAUGGUUCACGGCCCAUGUGGUAUGUUGGAUGACAAGUGCCCUUGUAUGAAAGAUGGCACUUGCUCAAAGCGAUUUCCAAAGUCUUUUAACAGUGAGACAAUGGUGGAUGAGAUGGGGUUUC